CCCCCAAGUUUCAGAUCUGUCAAAUUUCUGAAAUCAAACAACCAGGCCGGAAUCUCGCCACUGAGCUGAUUAUCUUCCAAGUUAAGCGUCUUCAAUUGUCGCAUCUUUUGCAUUGAAGGAGGAAUCUCUUCAACCAAAUCGUUGUCAUUUAGGAGCAUAUACGAAAUUUCUGAAAGGUUACCGAUCUGAGCUGGAAUCUGCUUUGAGAAAAAAUUAGAAUGUAAAUCCAACUGUUGCAAUUCUUUCAAACGGCAUAGCGAUGAUGGAAUUGCUCCAGUAAUUCUGUUAUUAGCAAGAGACAACACUUGCAAAUUGGUGAGGUUUCCCAAUGGAAAAAACUUCGAACUUUUCGUCGCCUCAAUAAAAGUUCUAUCCAAAGAAAGUAUCUCCAGAUGCUUUAAAGAAAACAACUCAGGAGGAAUGGAGCCAUCGAACAUAUUAUCGGACAUUUUAAGUUCAACAAUUUCUGUUAAAUUGGCAAACCCAAUUGCUGAAAUUUCUCCUUGUAUGUUGUUACUUGAAAUGUCAAGUGUCUCGAGCGUUCGAACAUGAAAGAGCGGAGUUAAAACAUGAGACGACAAAACAAUUUCUUCCGAGUUAUGAAAGAUAUUGCUGAGAUCAAGAUCAGUCACCUGUUGUUGUGGAGUGUUGGAAUUGCAACCGACUUCUUCCCACUGACAACAGUCUGUAGAAGAGGAGUUCCAAGUCUCUAAGAAAGUGAGAUUCUGGUGUGCAGGAACGCUUUCCAGUAAUAAGAGUUUGAAUUGGAGAAGGGCUUCUUUCUGAUAUUGAGGACAACAAAGUGACGGAAUGAGGAAGAUGAAUAACAAAGAAAAUGUUUGAAGAAAUGAAAGGAUC
rnacentral:misc_RNA from 1 species